GACGGAAGGUGCAAGCGUUGCUCGGAAUCACUGGGCGUAAAGGGUGCGUAGGCGGCCGUGCAAGUCUGGCGUGAAAGCCCCGGGCUCAGCCCGGGAAGUGCGCUCGAAACUGCACGGCUCGAGUGCCGGAGGGGAGAGUGGAAUUCCUGGUGUAGCGGUGAAAUGCGUAGAGAUCGGGAGGAACACCAGAGGCGAAGGCGGCGACCUGGACAAGUACUGACACUCAACUACGAAAGCGUGGGGAGCAAACAGG
rnacentral:rRNA from 1 species